CCUGACUUAAGAGAAAUUGAUUGUUAUCAUUAAUUGUAAGCAUAUACCAGGAGGGGGUCACAUGUGCCAUGGUGUAAGUGUGGGAGGUCAAAGGACAAGCAGAAGUUGGUUCCCUCCCACCAUGUGGGUCCUGGGGAUCAGACUUGGGUCAUCAGCCUUGGUGGCAUGACCUUUACUUACUGAAGCAUCUCACAAGUCCUUCCUGAUUUUAAAAUU
rnacentral:lncRNA from 1 species